rnacentral:rRNA from 1 species
GAUGAACGCUGGCGGCGUGCCUAAUACAUGCAAGUCGAGCGAACAGACGAGGAGCUUGCUCCUCUGACGUUAGCGGCGGACGGGUGGGUAACACGUGGAUAACCUACCUAUAAGACUGGGAUAACUUCGGGAAACCGGAGCUAAUACCGGAUAAUAUAUUGAACCGCAUGGUUCAAUAGUGAAAGACGGUUUUGCUGUCACUUAUAGAUGGAUCCGCGCCGCAUUAGCUAGUUGGUAAGGUAACGGCUUACCAAGGCGACGAUGCGUAGCCGACCUGAGGGGGUGAUCGGCCACACUGGAACUGAGACACGGUCCAGACUCCUACGGGAGGCAGCAGUAGGGAAUCUUCCGCAAUGGGCGAAAGCCUGACGGAGCAACGCCGCGUGAGUGAUGAAGGUCUUCGGAUCGUAAAACUCUGUUAUUAGGGAAGAACAAAUGUGUAAGUAACUAUGCACGUCUUGACGGUACCUAAUCAGAAAGCCACGGCUAACUACGUG